rnacentral:rRNA from 1 species
AGAGUUUGAUCAUGGCUCAGGAUGAACGCUGGCGGUAUGCCUAACACAUGCAAGUCGAACGGUUCCUUCGGGGAUAGUGGCGGACGGGUGAGUAACGCGUGAGAAUCUGCCCCUAAGACCGGGACAACAGUUGGAAACGACUGCUAAUACCGGAUGAGCUGAAAAGUAAAAGACUUAUCGCUUAGGGAUGAGCUCGCGUCAGAUUAGCUAGUUGGUAAGGUAAAGGCUUACCAAGGCGACGAUCUGUAGCUGGUCUGAGAGGAUGAGCAGCCACACUGGGACUGAGACACGGCCCAGACUCCUACGGGAGGCAGCAGUGGGGAAUUUUCCGCAAUGGGCGAAAGCCUGACGGAGCAAUACCGCGUGAGGGAGGAAGGUUCUUGGAUCGUAAACCUCUUUUCUCUGGGAAGAUAAUGACGGUACCAGAGGAAUAAGCAUCGGCUAACUCCGUGCCAGCAGCCGCGGUAAUACGGAGGAUGCAAGCGUUAUCCGGGGCGUAAAGAGUCCGUAGGUGGAACAGCAAGUCUGUGGUUAAAGCGCGAAGCUUAACUUCGUACCGGCCCAUGGAAACUGCUGAUCUAGAGUGGGAUAGGGGUAGAGGGAAUUCUUGGUGUAGCGGUGAAAUGCGUAGAUAUCAAGAAGAACACCGGUGGCGAAAGCGCUCUACUGGAUCUUAACUGACACUGAGGGACGAAAGCUAGGGGAGCGAAAGGGAUUAGAUACCCCUGUAGUCCUAGCCGUAAACGAUGGAUACUAGUUGUUGCGGGUAUCGACCCCUGCAGUGACGAAGCUAACGCGUUAAGUAUCCCGCCUGGGGAGUACGCACGCAAGUGUGAAACUCAAAGGAAUUGACGGGGGCCCGCACAAGCGGUGGAGUAUGUGGUUUAAUUCGAUGCAACGCGAAGAACCUUACCAAGACUUGACAUCCUAUGAAUCUCGGCGAAAGUUGAGAGUGCCUUCGGGAGCAUAGAGACAGGUGGUGCAUGGCUGUCGUCAGCUCGUGUCGUGAGAUGUUGGGUUAAGUCCCGCAACGAGCGCAACCCUCGUCCUUAGUUGCCAGCAUUAAGUUGGGCACUUUAGGGAGACUGCCGGUGACAAACCGGAGGAAGGUGGGGAUGACGUCAAGUCAGCAUGCCCCUUAUGUUUUGGGCUACACACGUACUACAAUGCUACGGACAAAGGGCAGCCAAACCGCGAGGUCGAGCUAAUCCCAUAAACCGUGGCACAGUUCAGAUUGCAGGCUGCAACUCGCCUGCAUGAAGGAGGAAUCGCUAGUAAUCGCCGGUCAGCAUACGGCGGUGAAUCCGUUCCCGGGCCUUGUACACACCGCCCGUCACACCAUGGGAGUUGGUCACGCCCGAAGUCGUUACUCUAACCCGCAAGGGGAGAGGACGCCGAAGGUAGGGCUGAUGACUGGGGUGAAGUCGUAACAAGGUAACCGUA